GACGAACGCUGGCGGCGUGCUUAACACAUGCAAGUCGAACGGUGAAGCGCCUUCCUUGUUGGUUGGUGGGGAUGAGUGGCGAACGGGUGAGUAACACGUGAGUAACCUGCCCCCUUCUUCUGGAUAACCGCAUGAAAGUGUGGCUAAUAUGGGAUAUUCUGGGUCUGUCUCAUGGUUGGUCUGGUUAAGAUAUUGUUUCGGUGGGGGAGGGGCUGGGGGCCUAUCGGGUUGUUGGUGGGGUGAUGGGCUACCAAGGGGGUGACGCGUAGCCGGCCUGAGAGGGUGGACGGCCAGAAUGGGACAGCGGCCCGGUCGGGACUCAGAUGGGAGGCAGAAGCGGGGAAUAGGGAACAGUGGGGGAAAGUCUGAUGCAGGGACGACGCGUGAGGGAUGGAGGCCUGCGGGUUGUGAACCCCUUUGGCUAGUGAAGCAGGACUGCCUCGUUUGUGGGUGGGUUGACGGUAGCUGGAUAAGAAGCGCCGGCUAACUACGUG
rnacentral:rRNA from 1 species